rnacentral:rRNA from 1 species
AAACAUGUUCUUUUGUUUAUAUAAAAGAUUUGACCUGCCCAAUGAUUUUAUUAAAUGGCUGCAGUAUUUUGACUGUACAAAGGUAGCAKAAUCAUUUGUCUUUUAAUUGAAGUCUAGAAUGAAUGGUUUGAUGAAAAAUAUAUUUUCUUUAUUUUAUAUAGGAAACUKGAUCUUUUAGUUAAAAGGCUAGAAUUUAUUUAUAGGACGAGAAGMCCCYGYARAACUUUAUUUUUAUUUUUUAUUCUUAAUAUGGGAUAUAUUUUGAGUAUAGAAAUUAUUAAAUYUUGUUGGGGUGACAAAAAAAAUCUAAUAACUUUUUUUAAUUUUUUCAUUUUUUUUGAGUUUUUGAUCCUGUUUUAUGGAUAAAAGAUUAAGUUCCCUCAGGGAUAACAGCGWUAUUAUUUUAGAGAGUUCAUAUCGAUAAAAUAGUUUGCGACCUCGAUGUUGGAUURUAAUYAGAUACGGGAGUASAMYAUCGUGUUCUAGGUCUGUUCGACCUUUAAAUUUUUAC